GAUGAAGAACGUAGCGAAAUGCGAUAAGUAAUGUGAAUUGCAGAAUUCAGUGAAUCAUCGAAUCUUUGAACGCACAUUGCGCCCGCCAGCAUUCUGGCGGGCAUGCCUGUUCGAGCGUCAUUUCAACCCUCGCAGCCCAUCUGGGCAGCGGUGUUGGGGACCGGCACCACCGGCGAAGCCCUUAGGGGCCCAGCCGGCGCCGCCCCCGAAAUACAGUGGCGGUCUCGCUGCAGCCUCCCUUGCGUAGUAGCACACCUCGCACCGGAGCGCAGCGCGGCCACGCCGUAAAACCCCCGACUUUCUGAGUUUGCCCUCGAAUCAGGUAGGAAUACCCGCUGAACUUAAGCAUAUCAAUAAGCGGAGGA
rnacentral:misc_RNA from 1 species